rnacentral:lncRNA from 1 species
UUCUAGUCUUACUUCUGACCUCCAAUCCCUGGGAGAGGGGCUGGAGAUUGAGUUCAAUCACUAAUGGCUGAAGACUGAAUCAAUCACGUCUGUGUAAUGAAGCCACCACUAAACUGCAAAGGGAUAGGGUUUGGAGAACUUUCAGGACCCGGCUAUUAGAAAAGAGGUUCAAUGUGAAUAUACUGACAAUAACAACAAAAAAAGAGAUUAGAGAAUUAAGAAAGAAAAUUCUAGAGGGCUUAAAGAUCACAUCUGGAAGGAUCUGAAAGGCCUCUUGAAGGAAAUAGAAAAAAAAAUUCUGGCUAAUUCCUCUAAUACUUCUGGACCCUCAUUGGCUAGGAAAUCAUGCUGUGUUCCCAUAUCUAUUUUCUGGUUCCGUGGAAGCUUCUUGAGUACAUGUCUAAUUUGGUUGGGUUCCCCCACUCUCGUACAGCUUCUCAUACAGGAUGCCUUAGAUGUCUUGUUUAUAAUAUUUCAAGCAGCUUCGGGUCCAAUGAGCUAUUGCAACACUAUGGCAUUGACAAUAACUAAAAGUUUUCUCACCUUGGAAUGGCAGAAGGAGAAAAACAAGCUUUUGCAGGUGAAGGAAAACAGGAAGAAUUCAUUGCUAGCAGACCUGCACCGUACUGCAAGAAAAUUAAGAAAGUGCUUCAGGCAGAGGAGUAAGAUCAACUUAUAUUAACAUGAUAAUAUGAUAGACAGAAACUUCAUCUACACAAGCAAUGGAGAGCACUGGAAAUGGCAAAAGUCAAAGGUCUCUACUCAUGACCUUCACCUGGAGCAUGACUGGGAAAAUACAGAAAAAGGGAUGGAGUGCCAUUCUUAAGUAGCUUACCUUGAAGACUUAGUGCCGCUUGCAUAGCUGGCAGCAAUACGAAGUCGCCUAUAUCACUCAAAGGAAUAAUGGACCCUAUUAAAAGCUGCUGCAAACACUGUGAUUGAAUUGCUCUGUUUAUCAGUCUAAGAUGCACAACUGCAUACUUUGGCCCUACUAAAAGUUAGUGUUCCAUUGUUUUUAAAUUCUUAAUGUUCUUGGAUGAAAAACCAAGUGUUGAGGUUUCGGAGAGAUCACUAAUCAAUUCCAACCUUCUUUCUUGUGAAUUAUGAUCAUAUUUAAUACAAGUCAAAUAACUCCACAUACAACAAAGUACACUCAUUCUCAUUAAGUGUUAGUCUUCACUCCAUUUCCUAACAGAGAAACAAUAGACACUAAACAAAGAAACAUGACAUUAAAACAAGAACUGAAAAUUAAGAGGUAAUGCGUGACUAAAUUUCCUG